CUGGGAUAAGCUAUACAAAUAAAUAAAAAAUUAAUGGAAGUCAAUGCAAAGUCUUUCUAUCUGCACAAAGUCCUUGUGCAGAUAGAAAGAUAUGUUUGCGUGUGGGGGUGGGUGUGUGUGUGUCAGUGAGAGAGAGAGAAGAAGAAAGAAGGAGAAUUGUUGUUGUCGCUGGCUGUUGUCGGCACACAUCGUCACUUCUUCUCUUUCAAACAGCAUUUGAAGAUGCAGGAAUAACACACCCAGCGAAAGUUUAAGGAGGGAGACCAAUGGAAACAGAAUGUACGCCUCCCACUUCUCAGGAGAUAAAACAGCAGGCUGUAAAUCAUCUCAUCAUUGUCCUGACCUGCAGUGAGGAGCUUUCACAGACUCACACGUCCAGCAUGAGGCCUGUCCAGCUCCACACGCUGAAACCUUAGGGCCGCCAUGAGGGCCGGGAAUGUGAAGGAAGCCCAGGAAACAAUAGGAAGAGUGUUUAUCGGAGCGAGGGCACCAUGUGCAGGAGGGAUUACCACAGAAUUAUGACUGCAAGACGCCUCGCCAUCUGGGCACACAGUGCAGUAAAGGCACAACGUAAUGAGUCUGCAGGAAAAUAACGGCCGAUGAAAAGGACAAAUGUGAGCUGGGAGCUUUUAUCCAUGUCAGAUAAAACUGGUGGGGUAUAUUUAGGCUUGGCAUGUUAAUGGGACCUUCAGGAGUUGCAUUUAAAUGUAGAGUAACAGGGAUCGGUCUAUUCAGUCUAAAACUGUGAUAUAAUUCUGAGUAAGUUUAACACCUGUAUUUUCUGCAUAAAUUAAAAAAAAAAUGUAACAGUAGGAAAAUGUUUUGUUUUCCAGCAGAUUAAAAUGAACUAUUUUUAAUAUUA